AAACACUAUGCAAUUGUAAACUACUUAGAUAGCCAAAUUCAACCUUCUCUUCUUACUUUAUACAAAAAAUAUAUAUAAAUAAAAGUUCAAUGCAUGUGCUUGGAUAUGAAUUCAUACGGUAAUAAUAGAAUGGUAAAGUACAUGAAAAAGAGAUAGAAGACGAAAAGUUGUAGAUGAAAGAAAGAAAAAUAGACAAUAAAAAAUAAAA
rnacentral:lncRNA from 1 species